UACGUAGGCAGCAAGCGUUGUUCGGAAUUACUGGGCGUAAAGAGUGUGUAGGCGGUGUUCCAAGUCUGUUGUGAAAUCUCCCGGCUUAACUGGGAGGGUGCGGCGGAAACUGGAAUGCUCGAGUAUGGGAGAGGUAAGCGGAAUUCCUGGUGUAGCGGUGAAAUGCGUAGAUAUCAGGAGGAACACCUGUGGUGUAGACAGCUUACUGGACCAUCACUGACGCUGAGACACGAAAGCGUGGGUAG
rnacentral:rRNA from 1 species